rnacentral:rRNA from 1 species
AGCGAACGCUGGCGGCAGGCCUAACACAUGCAAGUCGAGCGGUCGUAGCAAUACGGCAGCGGCAGACGGGCGAGUAACACGUGGGAACGUGCCCUUCAGUUCGGAACAACCCAGGGAAACUUGGGCUAAUACCGGAUACGCCCUUACGGGGAAAGAUUUAUCGCUGAAGGAGCGGCACGCGUCUGAUUAGCUUGUUGGUGAGGUAAUGGCUCACCAAGGCGACGAUCAGUAGCUGGUCUGAGAGAAUGGGCAGCCUCACUGGGACUGAGACACGGCCCAGACUCCUACGGGAGGCAGCAGUGGGGAAUAUUGGGCAAUGGGCGCAAGCUGGAUCCAGCCAUGCCGCGUGGGUGAUGAAGGCCCUAGGGUUGUAAAGCCCUUUCGGCGGGGAAGAUAAUGACGGUACCCGCAGAAGAAGCCCCGGCUAACUUCGUGCCAGCCGCCGCCGUAACAC